GACGUCACCAAACCCUGCCCCUUGUCCAGCCUCAGGAAUAACGUCAUUUCCUGUCUUUUAUUUUAUGAAGGAAAGUGGGCCUGGAGUUUUAAGGUGUUCCCUGUGGCUGUGCAGCUUGAAUGGUUCUCUGUGACCUGCUCUGAGCUCUGCUGUUGUGUGCUGUGAGAGGACUUCAGGGAAGCUCUGAAAUCCACACAUGGGGAUUGAGGGUUUUAAUCCCUUCUGCUCUCCUGGACUGCAUUACAUAGACCAUGCUGGUGUCCGGCUCAACGACUUACACCUGCUGUUACCCCUCUGAUUAAAGAAAUGAGGAAAUACACCCAGGUUGCCGAGCAUUUUUAUAUAUCAUGCUUUGGGUUGUACACUGCUUUAGGGAGCAGUGACUUUUGAUGAUGUGCAAGUGAACUUCACUGAGGAAGAGAGGGAAUCGUUGGAUCCAUCCCAGAAGAAUCUCUACAAAAAUGUGAUGUUGGCGACCUUCCUGAACCUCAAAGCUCUAGGCUCUAAUUGGGAAGACCAUGAUAUUGAAGAACAUUUUGAAAAUUCUAGAAGAUUUAAAAGGUAAUUUUCUUGUGCCAGCUGAUACAAAUAUAUCUCUGAGGAAAUUUUAAUAUGUUCUUAAAACUCUAAAGAAAAGCAAGAGGGUAAAAUAUCUGUCCUUUAAGUGUAGCUAUGAUUAAAAUUUUCUAACAAAACCAUGGACCUCAAAAUAAGUUAUCAGAGUUGUGUAUCCAUUUGCUGUGUAGCUCCAUUAGAACUAUGCUGUGGAACUGCUAAUCUGUACAGUCUCAAGUUACUUAGAUAUCAUAUUGACAUUGAAUAGUAAUAAAUAUAUAUCAAAAACCUUCUAAUAAGCAAAAAGUCCAUGAUAAAGUUGGUGAUGCUAAUAUUCUUGUAGGGGCAUUUUUAAAUUUGUUGAGAGGGCAGUUUAUGAGACUCAAGAAUGUUGUUUUGGAUAAAUAUUAAUGUAUAUACUACAUGUUAUAAGAAAUAAAAAUUCAAACAGUGAA